AUUGAACGUCUUGGGCGGCAGGCCUAACACAUUGCAAGUGGAGACGGUAACAUGAAAGUAGCUUGCUACUUUAGCUGACGAAGCGGCGGACGGGUGGAGUGAAUGCUUGGGAACAUUGGCCUUUAGUGUGGGGGACAACAGUUGGAAACGACUGCUAAUACCGCAUGAUGUCUACGGACCAAAGGGGGCUUCGGCUCUCGCCUAAAGAUUGGCCCAAGUGGGAUUAGCUAGUUGGUGAGGUAAUGGCUCACCAAGGCAACGAUCCCUAGCUGGUUUGAGAGGAUGAUCAGCCACACUGGAACUGAGACACGGUCCAGACUACUACGGGAGGCAGCAGUGGGGAAUAUUGCACAAUGGGCGCAAGCCUGAUGCAGCCAUGCCGCGUGUGUGAAGAAGGCCUUCGGGUUGUAAAGCACUUUCAGUCAGGAGGAAAGGUGAGUAGUAAAUACCUGCUAGCUGUGACGUCACUGACAGAAGACGCACCGGCUAACUCCGUGCCAGCAGCCGCGGUAAUACGGAGGGUGCGAGCGUUAAUCGGAAUCACUGGGCGUAAAGCGUACGCACGCUGUGUGUUACGCGAGAUGUGAAAGCCCCGGGGCUCAACCNUGGGAAACUGUAUUUUCCGAUCCUGGGCAAAUCCUAAGAAGUUGUUUGAUUUAAGAAGGUGGGUUGGGUU
rnacentral:rRNA from 1 species